ensembl:lncRNA
GUUAGUGUCAGUUGCAGACGGGUGAGAUGAGCAGGGGAGAGGAGUGAUGUGACUGUUAUCGAUCCUGCCUGGCGCUCUUAAAGCAGAGCUUUUACGCGGCGGUAGUCAGUCGUUGACGGGCUGGCUGACGUCCGCGCUCCUCCAAACCACACCGCGCCGCGCCGCCUGAUCUCCACCAGAAAGAGCCCGAGAUUGGGUUGAAGUGAACAGAGUGAGAGGAGAAGACAGCGGGGGAGAGGGGAGGGGGAGACAAGAGAAAGAGAAGAAUGGUGACGGGUGGAGGGGGGAGCCGAUCAUUCCGGCUGCCCGCAUCCGCUGCUCUAGUGGAGGGCAGAGGGUGAGGGAGAGCGAGAGAGAGAC